UACGUAGGGGGCAAGCGUUGUCCGGAAUUAUUGGGCGUAAAGAGCGUGUAGGCGGUCCGGUAAGUCGGCUGUGAAAGUCCAGGGCUCAACCCUGGGAUGCCGGUCGAUACUGCCGGACUAGAGUUCGGAAGAGGCGAGUGGAAUUCCCGGUGUAGCGGUGAAAUGCGCAGAUAUCGGGAGGAACACCUAUGGCGAAGGCAGCUCGCUGGGACGUUACUGACACUGAGGCGCGAAAAGCGUGGGGGAGCGAACAGG
rnacentral:rRNA from 1 species